rnacentral:rRNA from 1 species
UGGGGAAUAUUGGACAAUGGGCGAAAGCCUGAUCCAGCAAUACCGGGUGAGUGAUGAAGGCCCUAGGGUUGUAAAGCUCUUUUAGCAAGGAAGAUAAUGACGUUACUUGCAGAAAAAGCCCCGGCUAACUCCGUGCCAGCAGCCGCGGUAAGACGGAGGGGGCUAGCGUUGUUCGGAAUUACUGGGCGUAAAGAGUGCGUAGGCGGUUUAGUAAGUUGGAAGUGAAAGCCCGGGGCUUAACCUCGGAAUUGCUUUCAAAACUACUAAUCUAGAGUGUAGUAGGGGAUGAUGGAAUUCCUAGUGUAGAGGUGAAAUUCUUAGAUAUUAGGAGGAACACCGGUGGCGAAGGCGGUCAUCUGGGCUACAACUGACGCUGAUGCACGAAAGCGUGGGGAGCAAACA